GCGUUCAUAGCUCAGUUGGUUAGAACACCACCUUGACAUGGUGGGGGUCGUUGGUUCGAGUCCAAUUGAACGCACCA
rnacentral:tRNA from 1 species